AUGGAUAAGGCUUUGGCUU
rnacentral:miRNA from 1 species